CGCCGCAGACGCGUUGUUAUGUAGGUGGGCAAGUGUUUCGAAAUUUAUGGGGUAUAAAGCGCGCUCAUGGUGUCUUUUAUGUGAUAUGAAAGCGCCCCGCGCCACACGGGGGGGGCUCAUGGACUCUGGAGCACGAGUGGACAGGAGGAGAGUGUAGAUUUCGCGUGUCGCUGUAAAAUGUGUAGAUAUGUGGGGACACCACAGGGGAGAGGGCGUCUCUGUUCUCUGUCUCAGACUGAGACGCGAGAGAGUGUGGAGCGCACACGAGUUGAUAUCCUCGUAUUGUACACGGUAUAAGCGGAGAGUUAUAAGUUUGAGAGUGUUUCCGCCCUAGAGUGGCGCCUCUAACGCUAUGCGCUCUGCGUGUGGAGUGCGCUGUCACAAGUCAAAAUCUAAAGAGUAGUCGCGGGGCCCCGCACACGCUGUAGCACAUGUUGUAUUAUUAGGCACAGCGAAGAGCCUCUUCACGUCUCUUCACAUUCUCUCACACCUCGAGAUAUAGCUCUUCCCUUUGGGGGACAGAGUGACAGGUGGUGCAUGGUUGUCGUCAGCUCGUGUCGUGAGAUGUUGGGUUAAGUCCCGCAACGAGCGCAACCCUUGAUCUUAGUUGCCAGCAUUCAGUUGGGCACUCUAAGGUGACUGCCGGUGACAAACCGGAGGAAGGUGGGGAUGACGUCAAAUCAUCAUGCCCCUUAUGACCUGGGCUACACACGUGCUACAAUGGGCAGAACAAAGGGCAGCGAAGCCGCGAGGCUUAGCCAAUCCCACAAAUCCGUUCUCAGUUCGGAUUGCAGUCUGCAACUCGCCUACAUGAAGCUGGAAUCGCUAGUAAUCGCGGAUCAGCAUGCCGCGGUGAAUACGUUCCCGGGCCUUGUACACACCGCCCGUCACACCACGAGAGUUUGUAACACCC
rnacentral:rRNA from 1 species